rnacentral:rRNA from 1 species
UACGGAGGGUGCAAGCGUUAUUCGGAAUCAUUGGGUUUAAAGGGUCCGUAGGCGGGAAUCUAAGUCAGUGGUGAAAUCUUGCAGCUCAACUGUAAAAUUGCCAUUGAUACUGGAUUUCUUGAAUUAGUGUGAAGUGAUUAGAAUGUGUAGUGUAGCGGUGAAAUGCAUAGAUAUUACACAGAAUACCAAUUGCGAAGGCAGAUCACUAACACUAUAUUGACGCUGAGGGACGAAAGCGUGGGGAGCGAACAGGAUUAGAAACCCCAGUAGUCC